UACGUAGGGUGCGAGCGUUGUCCGGAAUUAUUGGGCGUAAAGAGCUCGUAGGCGGUUUGUCGCGUCUGCUGUGAAAACUCGGGGCUUAACUCCGGGCCUGCAGUGGGUACGGGCAGACUAGAGUGCGGUAGGGGAGACUGGAAUUCCUGGUGUAGCGGUGAAAUGCGCAGAUAUCAGGAGGAACACCGGUGGCGAAGGCGGGUCUCUGGGCCGUAACUGACGCUGAGGCAUGAAAGCGUGGGGAGCAAACAGG
rnacentral:rRNA from 1 species